rnacentral:rRNA from 1 species
GAUGAACGCUGGCGGCGUGCUUAACACAUGCAAGUCGAACGAAGCACUUUAUUUGAUUUCCUUCGGGACUGAUUAUUUUGUGACUGAGUGGCGGACGGGUGAGUAACGCGUGGGUAACCUGCCUUGUACAGGGGGAGAACAGUAGGAAACGGCUGAUAAUACCGCAUAAGCGCACAGCAUCGCAUGAUGCAGUGUGAAAAACUCCGGUGGUAUAAGAUGUACCCGCGUUGGAUUAGCUAGUUGGUGAGGUAACGGCCCACCAAGGGGACGAUCCAUAGCCGAGCUGUGAGGGUGACCCGCCACUUUGAGACUGAGACACAGCCCAGACUCCUACGGGAUGCAGCAGUGGGGAAUAUUGCACAAUGGGCUAAAGCCUGAUGCAGCGACGCCGCGUGAGCGAAGAAGUAUUUCGGUAUGUAAAGCUCUAUCAGCAGGGAAGAUAAUGACGGUACCUGACCAGGAAGCACCGGCUAAAUACGUG